UACGUAGGGUGCGAGCGUUAAUCGGAAUUACUGGGCGUAAAGCGUGCGCAGGCGGUCUGUUAAGACCGAUGUGAAAUCCCCGGGCUUAACCUGGGAACUGCAUUGGUGACUGGCAGGCUUUGAGUGUGGCAGAGGGAGGUAGAAUUCCACGUGUAGCAGUGAAAUGCGUAGAGAUGUGGAGGAAUACCGAUGGCGAAGGCAGCCUCCUGGGCCAACACUGACGCUCAUGCACGAAGCGUGGG
rnacentral:rRNA from 1 species